GAUGAACGCUGGCGGCGUGCCUAAUACAUGCAAGUCGAGCGAACAGACGAGGAGCUUGCUCCUCUGACGUUAGCGGCGGACGGGUGAGUAACACGUGGAUAACCUACCUAUAAGACUGGGAUAACUUCGGGAAACCGGAGCUAAUACCGGAUAAUAUAUUGAACCGCAUGGUUCAAUAGUGAAAGACGGUUUUGCUGUCACUUAUAGAUGGAUCCGCGCCGCAUUAGCUAGUUGGUAAGGUAACGGCUUACCAAGGCAACGAUGCGUAGCCGACCUGAGAGGGUGAUCGGCCACACUGGAACUGAGACACGGUCCAGACUCCUACGGGAAGCAGCAGUAGGGAAUCUGCCGCAAUGGGCGAAAGCCUGACGGAGCAACGCCGCGUGAGUGAUGAAGGUCUUCGGAUCGUAAAACUCUGUUAUUAGGGAAGAACAAAUGUGUAAGUAACUAUGCACGUCUUGACGGUACCUAAGCAGAAAGCCACGGCUAACUACGU
rnacentral:rRNA from 1 species